rnacentral:rRNA from 1 species
AUUGAACACUGGCGGCAUGCCUUACACAUGCAAGUCGAACGGUAACAGGUCUUCGGAUGCUGACGAGUGGCGAACGGGUGAGUAAUACAUCGGAACGUGCCCGAUCGUGGGGGAUAACGAAGCGAAAGCUUUGCUAAUACCGCAUACGAUCUAAGGAUGAAAGCAGGGGACCGCAAGGCCUUGCGCGAACGGAGCGGCCGAUGGCAGAUUAGGGAGUUGGGGGGAUAAAAGCUUACCAAGCCGACGAUCUGUAGCUGGUGUGAGAGGACGACCAGCAACACGGGGACGGAGGCACGGCCCAGACUCCUACGGGAGGCAGCAGUGUGGAAUUUUGGACAAUGGGCGAAAGCCUGAUCCAGCCAUGCCGCGUGCAGGAUGAAGGCCUUCGGGUUGUAAACUGCUUUUGUACGGAGCGAAAAGACUCUGGUUAAUACCUGGGGUCCAUGACGGUACCGUAAGAAUAAGCACCGGCUAACUACGUGCCAGCCGCCGCCGUAA